GUGGGUCCCGCAGCUGAUAGGUGGGGCUCACAAAAAGAACAUCCAUCCCAACCCUUUCAACCUCUUCAACCAAACAAAAACUGGAUCGGCUCCAACCAAACAAAAACUGGAUCGGCUCCAACCCACUCAUCCAAACAUGAGAUGGGUCGGCUCCAACCCAACCCACAUCGUCCCAAAACCAAAUGCUACCUAAGGUUCUACGACAUAUAAAUACCUACAAAUGCAAUGCACUUCAACUUCCGAUUCAUGUUUAAUUUCUUCAAUUGGGAGUUGAAACGCGGAUGCGGGCACGAGUAUUCCCAUCCAACUCGUUUGACUUCUCGUCUCCCCUAGUAACGAUUUAGAUUCGUGCCAGCACAAAAAAUAAUCAGCACAGAUAAUUUGGCUUAUGUGCUGGCCUUUGAUUAGCCCCAACACGGAUAUUAAUCGUAUCGAUAUUUAUCAUCUGAACCGGUGGCCCCCCUUGUAGGCUUUAGGCCCGGCGCAGAUGAGGCCCUCUACAGUAUUAUGAUCAUCUCUUUGGGCAAACCCAAUAGGCAAUAACCGCCUGCCACGAUCGUACACCCUCCC
rnacentral:lncRNA from 1 species